rnacentral:rRNA from 1 species
ACUCCUACGGGAGGCAGCAGUGGGGAAUAUUGCACAAUGGGCGCAAGCCUGAUGCAGCAACGCCGUGUGAGUGAAGAAGGUUUUCGGAUCGUAAAACUCUGUCCUAAGGGAAGAAACAAAUGACGGUACCUUAGGAGGAAGCCCCGGCUAACUACGUGCCAGCAGCCGCGGUAAUACGUAGGGGGCAAGCGUUAUCCGGAAUCACUGGGCGUAAAGGGUGCGUAGGCGGCUUAGCAAGCCAGGGGUGAAAGGCAUUGGCUCAACCAAUGUAAGCCUUUGGAACUGUUAAGCUUGAGUGCAGGAGAGGUAAGUGGAAUUCCUAGUGUAGAGGUGAAAUUCGUAGAUAUUAGGAGGAACACCAGUGGCGAAGGCGACUUACUGGACUGUAACUGACGCUGAUGCACGAAAAGCGUGGGUAGCGAACAGGAUUAGAUACCCUGGUAGCACAGAG